AGUGUUAGGCAAAUCCGGCACUCAUAAGGUCAAGCUGUGAUGGGGAGAGGAAAUUGUUUCCUCGAGUCGUUGAUUUCACACUGCCGAGAAAAGCCUCUAGCUAGAUUUAUGGUGCCCGUACCGCAAACCGACACAGGUAGUCAAGAUGAGAAUUCUAAGGUGAGCGAGCGAACUCUCGUUAAGGAACUCGGCAAAAUGACCCCGUAACUUCGGGAGAAGGGGU
rnacentral:rRNA from 1 species